ensembl:misc_RNA Metazoa_SRP Metazoan signal recognition particle RNA
GCUGGGUAUGGUGGUGUGUACCUGUGAUCCCAGGUACUCAGGGGCUGAGGUGGGAGGAUCGCUCGGACCCAGGAAGUCUAGGUUGCAGUGAGCUCUGAUCGCACCACUGCACUCUAGCCUGGGUGACAGAGUGAGACCCUGUCUCAA